CUAUCCCAGGACCCUGGAUCAUGACCUGAGCUGAAAUCAAAAGCGGGCCACCCAGAUGCCCCCUCACGGUUGUUUACAAGAGCAAAUUAAAAUCAGUCAAGGAGAAGAGGAACAUAGGACAGGGUCCAGGAGACACCAAGUGCAGAAUUUCCAGUUACACUCUCCCAGUGGAGUCAUGCCAACAGCAUUUUCUUCUCCCAACAAUGACGUGUGGCAACACUGACAGAGUAUUGCCAACUAGGGAAAUUUGCCCAAACUUUGGUGUCCAGUUUUCACAGCGUUGGGUCACAUAUACAGAGUUGAUUACCCAUGUCUUUGACUGCAGUUUCCAGCCCCUCCAAAGACUGCGCCAAUGCUGUCUGGCCCAAAGCCACCCCAACCCCCCCACACCUGUCCCAUUACUUUGUUAGCAUAGAUUAUCUAGCAUGGCCCAAGGCUUCCCGGUAAACAAAGACGUUUUUAUCAGGCAGGACCCCCAAGGGCUUAGAAGUUAUCUUCCAGACGUUGGUGGCAAAGACCAAAGCUCUCCUCAGGCAAGAUUAAUCCUUUACUGAGAAAUUGUUAUCAAAUUGUAGAUAUUUAUUCUGUUCUUUAGGUUAGAAUCCAAUGCUAUCAUUAUUUUGUUGCUCACAUACUCCUUACUUGGCCAUUGAGGUGUCUUUUAUCUCUGCUUCUGUGCCCUUUCAACACGCCUUCUCCUAAAAAAGCACUUUGCCACUUUUUGACACUUCAAGAUACUUCAAGUAUAUCUAGUAUUUUCCCUGACCCAGCUAUAGAGAAGCUGCUUCUUCAAAGAGCUGUGUUUCCUUUUAUUGGAGAAAAUGGCAUUUAGAAAACAAGACCUGGGCUUUAGGUGUGUUCAUUGCUGCUAGGUCUCUUUACUGGCUAGAGUUUGCAUACAAAUAUAUGUAUGUGUAUUAACCCACGUAUGCUUACAUCUUUAUCUUUCUUUAUAUAUAUUAAAAUAAACAUGAGUUCACACUGAUAUCUCUGACUCUAAUCCAGCACCACUUUGGCUCAUUCUAGCCUUCCCCCCUUGUCUACAUGUUACUUCUCUCUUGUAAUGUAGCUCUGGUUAUCUAGAAUUUAUUUACUUACUUGUUCCAUCUUAGUAUACAUGUAAAGUAAUUGCACAACUACUAACCUGUAUCCCUAUAUAAAACAAAAUGUAUUGACUAUAAAACAGUGGCUUUUUGUACAGUUCCUUACCCUUACAGAAUCUAGUCAGAGCAGUGUUUCCCAGCAUUAUGUACAGCUUUCCCUCCAAGAGGAUGCCCUGGAAGACCCUGAACUCACCUCCAGGGACACACCAAAUUUACACCUAUUGACUUUAUACCUGUUUUAUACCUAUUUAUACCUAUUUAUAGAGAAGCUCCUCCUGAAGAAGGGCAGAGGACUGACUGAAGAGCUCCUACACCACAGAAGAUGGAGAGAAGGGCAGGUGCGGUGCAGGCGAUGGGCAUCAGGAGGGGAACCCUACUACUCAGCCUGGGAACUGCCAUGCGGGCCAGGACUAAGGGCUCUAGGGUACAGAAGAAAAGCCUCAGUUUAGGGGCAACUAGAAUAUAAAGGAACCAGCGCUGGAACCCAGCCAGGCUAUGAAGAGAGGGUAGCCACUGGGGCUCUAUCUGGGCUGGAGGGCUGGGGUGAGCAGGGUUUCUGUUCCCUUUGCCAUAACAAUGACAACCAACCAUUGGGAGCACGGCCCCGCGGGGGAGGUGGGAGGGGGGCGCUCUGCUGCUUCUCAGGAUCCGAAGCUGCCCCAAAACCCUCCUCCCAAACCUCCACCUAACCCAGGUCAUGGGACAAACUUAUAGUGAAAAGAGCAGCUGGAAUAUAAAAGACCCAGCUCUAGAAGUCCACCAAAUCACGGGAGAGCUGCUGGAACCUUCCCGUGGGAGGGGCCAGUGAGAGCCACGGUUUCUGUUCCACAGCUACUUGGGGCCAAGCACUAACUUCCAAGUUCCUUACAUGUGAGACUAGAAACCAGAAGUUUUAACUUUAAUUUACAUUGGACCUACUUGAAUAAUCCAAGGUAAUGACAGCAUUUUAGACAAAUAGCCUGAAAUGAUGUUGCUUCAUUUCCAAUGCUGUGUUCCAAAAUGAAAUUAGUGUUCUUCAGAGUGAAGAUCAUUUCUUGAAUUUUCAAAUUCAGCUGAAAGAAAAUAGAAAACCUCUCAGUUAAUCUGAACGGAACAAUUUGAGAAUUCUUGCAUGAUCACUCAGUACUAAGGAAGGAAGCUGCUGAAGAAGGCGCCCCUGCAGGCAAGUACUUCUAAAUGAAGCCCGUGAUGCCACUUCAUUACAAAUAGCAAACUGACUGCUAUAAGAGGGGCCGUUAUAAAACCACAAGCUCCUCCCUCGGAGGGGCCAUUCCCCUUCAGUUUCUAGAACCAGCACCUACCAUGGAAGUGUUUUGAAUGAAUGACUUUGUAAACAACUUCCUGCCUGAACAGAUGGGACUGAUUCAUUUCGUGUCACACAUAUAGAAGAGUACCUGGCGUGCAGUUGGUACUCAAAAGACAAUUUAGGUUGAACGAAGGAAAGAACAAAUAAAUAAACGAAUGAAUAAGUAAAUGUGGCAACCCGUGAUUGGUCAGGAAGGUCUGGUGUUUGCUGUCUUCACAGGGUAAAGACUGCUGCAGGAACAGCUGUUCCCAUCUGCACCAGUGGCCAACUCUUCACCGGGUUACUGGUUUACUGCUCUGUGGUCUCCGAGUGGUGGAGGGAGGGAGGAAGGAGCAUCUGGGGCUCAGUGAGUGGAGUUUUACGCAUUUCACCCAACCUCUCAGAAACUGCCCCCUACUUUGUGACAUGAGAAGCACAACACAAAUUUAGCAGGGUUUCUCUUGAGGAUUAACCAACAUCAUACAAGGUUGUGCCGUACUCUGCAGAUGUUUAAUAUUGUUAUUUAUUGGGGAAAGGAGAUGUUCUGAAAUUAUGGCAGUGCUUUCCUUUUUAGAAAAAAAAUGUACAAACGUGUAUUGAAUCAUUUUGUUCUUAAGACUGGUGUUUAAUGAAUUUGGAUCAGUUGAUUUAUUUACUAGGUUAUACUUUCUAGGGUUGUUAUGUAAAUCCAGCAGAAUGGUAUGUCCCUGUAAGCCCAAACUGUGCACUUGUCAGUUUCCCUUUCUUACCCUUAGGUAUUACUUAUUGAAAGUCAU